CUCGUAGGCGGUUUGUCGCGUCUGCUGUGAAAACCCGAGGCUCAACCUCGGGCCUGCAGUGGGUACGGGCAGACUAGAGUGCGGUAGGGGAGAUUGGAAUUCCUGGUGUAGCGGUGGAAUGCGCAGAUAUCAGGAGGAACACCAAUGGCGAAGGCAGAUCUCUGGGCCGUAACUGACGCUGAGGAGCGAAAGCAUGGGGAGCGAACA
rnacentral:rRNA from 1 species